rnacentral:rRNA from 1 species
UACGAAGGGUGCAAGCGUUACUCGGAAUUACUGGGCGUAAAGCGUGCGUAGGCGGUUUGUUAAGUCUGUCGUGAAAGCCCCGGGCUCAACCUGGGAAUGGCGAUGGAUGCUGGCGAGCUAGAGUACGGUAGAGGAGAGUGGAAUUCCCGGUGUAGCAGUGAAAUGCGUAGAGAUCGGGAGGAACAUCAGUUGCGAAGGCGGCUCUCUGGACCAGUACUGACGCUGAGGCGCGAAAGCGUGGGGAGCAAACAGG